rnacentral:rRNA from 1 species
GACGAACGCUGGCGGCGUGCUUAACACAUGCAAGUCGAACGGAAAGGCCCUGCUUUUGUGGGGUGCUCGAGUGGCGAACGGGUGUGUAACACGUGAGUAACCUGCCCUUGACUUUGGGAUAACUUCAGGAAACUGGGGCUAAUACCGGAUAGGAGCUCCUGCUGCAUGGUGGGGGUUGGAAAGUUUCGGCGGUUGGGGAUGGACUCGCGGCUUAUCAGCUUGUUGGUGGGGUAGUGGCUUACCAAGGCUUUGACGGGUAGCCGGCCUGAGAGGGUGACCGGCCACAUUGGGACUGAGAUGCGGCACAGACCCCUACGGGAGGCAGCAGUGGGGAAUGUUGCACAAUGGGCGGAAGCCUGAUGCAGCAACGCCGCGUGCGGGAUGACGGCCUUCGGGUUGUAAACCGCUUUCGCCUGUGACGAAGCGUGAGUGACGGUAAUGGGUAAAGAAGCACCGGCUAACUACGUG